AGCACAGUAAGUACUUCGGUAUUUAUGGGUGGCGAGUGGCGGACGGGUGAGUAAUAGGUAGGAAUCUGUCCUGGAGAGUGGGAUAACCCGCGGAAACGCGGGCUAAUACCGCAUGAUAUUGAGAGAUCAAAAGCAGGGGACCCUUCGGGGCCUUGCGCUCUGGGGUGAGCCUACGUCGGAUUAGCUAGUUGGUGGGGUAAAGGCCUACCAAGGCGACGAUCCGUAGCUGGUCUGAGAGGAUGACCAGCCACACUGGGACUGAGACACGGCCCAGACUCCUACGGGAGGCAGCAGUGGGGAAUCUUGGACAAUGGGGGAAACCCUGAUUCAGCGAUACCGCGUGUGUGAAGAAGGCCUUCGGGUUGUAAAGCACUUUAGUUGGGGAAGAAAGGUACAAGGGGAAUAUCCUUGUGCUGUGACGGUACCCAAAGAAUAAGCACCGGCUAACUCUGUGCCAGCAGCCGCGGUAAUACAGAGGGUGCAAGCGUUAAUCAGAAUGACUGGGCGUAAAGGGCGUGUAGGUGGUUGACUAGGUUUGAUGUGAAAUCCCCGGGCUUAACCUGGGAAUGGCGUCGAAAACGGGUUGACUAGAGUGAGACAGAGGGUUGUGGAAUUUCCGGUGUAGCGGUGAAAUGCGUAGAUAUCGGAAAGAACAUCAGUGGCGAAGGCG
rnacentral:rRNA from 1 species